AGUGAACGCUGGCGGUAGACCUAACACAUGCAAGUCGAACGGCAGCACAGUAAGAGCUUGCUCUUACGGGUGGCGAGUGGCGGACGGGUGAGGAAUACAUCGGAAUCUACUUUUUCGUGGGGGAUAACGUAGGGAAACUUACGCUAAUACCGCAUACGACCUACGGGUGAAAGCGGGGGAUCUUCGGACCUUGCGCGAUUGAAUGAGCCGAUGUCGGAUUAGCUAGUUGGCGGGGUAAAGGCCCACCAAGGCGACGAUCCGUAGCUGGUCUGAGAGGAUGAUCAGCCACACUGGAACUGAGACACGGUCCAGACUCCUACGGGAGGCAGCAGUGGGGAAUAUUGGACAAUGGGCGCAAGCCUGAUCCAGCCAUACCGCGUGGGUGAAGAAGGCCUUCGGGUUGUAAAGCCCUUUUGUUGGGAAAGAAAAGCAGCAGGUUAAUACCCCGCUGUUCUGACGGUACCCAAAGAAUAAGCACCGGCUAACUUCGUG
rnacentral:rRNA from 1 species